GAUGAACGCUAGCGGCAGGCCUAACACAUGCAAGUCGAGGGAGAGGUUACCUUCGGGUAACCAAAACCGGCGCACGGGUGCGUAACGCGUAUACAAUCUGCCUUUCACAUAGGGAUAGCCCGAAGAAAUUUGGAUUAAUACCUAAUGGUAUAUAAGAGCGGCAUCGUUUUUAUAUUAAAGCUACGGUGGUGAAAGAUGAGUAUGCGUUCUAUUAGCUAGUUGGAGAGGUAACGGCUCCCCAAGGCGACGAUAGAUAGGGGUUCUGAGAGGGAUGUCCCCCACACUGGUACUGAGAUACGGACCAGACUCCUACGGGAGGCAGCAGUGAGGAAUAUUGGACAAUGGUCGGAAGACUGAUCCAGCCAUGCCGCGUGCAGGAUGAAGGUCCUAUGGAUUGUAAACUGCUUUUUGUAAGGGAAGAAUAAGGAGUACGUGUACUUUGAUGACGGUACCUUACGAAUAAGCAUCGGCUAACUCCGUGCCAGCAGCCGCGGUAAUACGGAGGAUGCGAGCGUUAUCCGGAAUCAUUGGGUUUAAAGGGUCCGUAGGCGGGCUGAUAAGUCAGAGGUGAAAGCGCUUAGCUCAACUAAGCAACUGCCUU
rnacentral:rRNA from 1 species